rnacentral:lncRNA from 1 species
CCUGAUUCUGCCUUUUUUUUUCUGGGCAGGUUUUUAUGGGAGUCAUUCCAUCUCUAAUUUAGGAGUUCAUGAAAUGAAUAUUGGCCCAAUUCUCUUCCAAGUGGCCACAGGGGACAUCACCAAAGAAGUGGCAGAUGUGAUUGUCAAUUCAACAUCAAACACAUUUAAUCUCAAAUCAGGAGUGUCCAAAGCAAUUUUGGAAGGUGCAGGACAAAAUGUGGAGGCAGAGUGUUCUCUCUUGGGUAAGGAAUGAUGCUUGAUCUUGGUGCCAGAUUAUAAGUGGAAGAUUGACUACGCGAGAAUGUGAGGAAAC